UACGUAGGGGGCAAGCGUUGUCCGGAAUCAUUGGGCGUAAAGAGCGUGUAGGCGGCUCGAUAAGUCUGCUGUGAAAGUCCAGGGCUCAACCCUGGAAGGCCGGUGGAAACUGUCGGGCUAGAGUCCGGAAGAGGCGAGUGGAAUUCCCGGUGUAGCGGUGAAAUGCGCAGAUAUCGGGAGGAACACCAAUUGCGAAGGCAGCUCGCUGGAACGUAACUGACGCUGAGACGCGAAAGCGUGGGGAGCAAACGGG
rnacentral:rRNA from 1 species